UAGCAAAACUUUGUGUAUUUUUUGCUCUUGACUUACCAGUGAACAUAGAUUCCUUCAGUAAAUAUUGGGAAAACAUUUGCUUCAGGCCCAUUACUGGGUACCGCUUUGAUACAGAGGACACACCAAGGAACAAGACAGAUAGGACCUCUGCCUCUGGUAAGUUUGCAUUCCAGAGGGAGGAGAAGACAAUAAGCAAGCAAGCCAUCAAGACCACGUCAGAUGAGACGAAUAAAGUCAGACAGCUUCCAAGGAGUGGAUGCUUAUGGAGAGAUCACAUGGAGCCUUGUAGCUGAUUUAUAAUCUCAUGGUCCUCAUUCAUACAUCAAACCCCUGAAGGCCUGGCAUUUUUAUCUCCCGACUCAACCUGCAUGCUACCAGAAGCUCGACAAAAUUACGGUGAAUAAGACAUGCUUCUUCCCUUCAAGAAGCUUCUAGUCAAUGGAGGAUAUGUAAGGCAGCAAUCUAACAGCAAUACAACACUAAACGUUCCUUGAGAAAAACACAAACAACAGGCAGAACUCAUGUCUGAGUAGAAGCUUCUUAGAAGAACUGAGUAGAACUUGGAAGAAACAUGUACCUCCUUCACACACAUAAUAUUGUUUUAUACU
rnacentral:lncRNA from 10 species